rnacentral:rRNA from 1 species
CCUACGGGAGGCAGCAGUGGGGAAUCUUGCGCAAUGGGCGGAAGCCUGACGCAGCGACGCCGCGUGCGGGAAGGAGGCCUUCGGGUCGUAAACCGCUUUCAGCAGGGACGAGGCCGCGAGGUGACGGUACCUGCAGAAGAAGCCCCGGCUAACUACGUGCCAGCAGCCGCGGUAAUACGUAGGGGGCAAGCGUUAUCCGGAUUCAUUGGGCGUAAAGCGCGCGUAGGCGGCCUGUUAGGUCGGGAGUCAAAUCCGGGGGCUCAACCCCCGCCCGCUCCCGAUACCGGCGGGCUUGAGUCUGGCAGGGGAAGGCGGAAUUCCAAGUGUAGCGGUGGAAUGCGCAGAUAUUUGGAAGAACACCGGUGGCGAAGGCGGCCUUCUGGGCCACGACUGACGCUGAGGCGCGAAAGCUAGGGGAGCGAACAGGAUUAGAUACCCGGGUAGUC